GGGUUUUAAUUAGUGGAUAGAAAAUUAGUUUUUAGUAAUUUGAGUGAAAAUUUUUAGUUUCCUAGAGAGGCAGUACUGAGGAGGAAAAUUGAUUUAUUUUUUUAGAAUAUUAGGUUGGUUAGUACCUUUUGUAUUAGGGUUGAUUAAUGUGAUAAUGCAUUUGUUUUUUCUCGAUGAAUAUCGGGCUAUUUUUUCUAGUUUAAUUUCGUUGUAUAGAGUUGAGUAGGAGACUAUAGUUAUGAAAUAUUAUUCAAGAUAUUUUUUAUCUGGUUCUUUAAUAAUUUUAAUAGACGAUAGUUUUAUUAUUACGAUAAAUAGGGAUUAGCUUAUUUAUAGUUUAUAUUUGAUUAUUAUUAUUAUUUUGUAUAUUAAGUUGAUAGUGCUUAUUUGAAUGGAGUUAUUAUUGGACAAGUUGUGUUGAUUAUUUUGUGUUAUUAUGUGAUUAUUGGGGUUAUAUUUAGAAUUUUUGGGAUUUGAAAUAAUGAUUAGAUUAGUAAUACAUUUUGUUAGUUUAGUAUGGGCGCUUUAAAGUGAUGAUUAAGAUGGGGUGUUUUUUAAUUAGGAUUGACGAAUUAGGCAAAAUAGAUUUCUGACUGUUUAGCAAAAACAUUGUUUCUUGUUGAGAUGAGAAAUAAGUUCUGUCCACUGCCACUGGGUGAAGGGCUGCAGUAUUUUGACUGUAUGAAGGUAGCAUAAUCAUUAGCUUCUUAAUUGGGGGCUGGUAUGAAGGUGAAACAGGGAUUUGCUGUUUUUUUUCUAUUUUUGAAUUUUGUUUUCUUGUGAAAAAUCAUGAGUGGAUUUAAGGGACAAGAAGACCCUAAUAAGUUUUAUCUUUUUAUUUAAUGUGUGCAUAGGUUUAAUUUGUGUGAUUUAUUUGAUGGGGUUUGGCUGGGGCGGCAGUUUGUGGAACAUAGACUUAUUUUUAACUUGAGUGACGAGUUUUGGACCUAGGGUGUUUAGAUUAGUGUGAAACUACUGUAGGGAUAACAGCGUAAUUUUAUUUGAGAGUUCUAAUUGACAAUAAA
rnacentral:rRNA from 1 species